UUCGCCCUGUUUUAUUCCAAAACAUCGCCUCUUGCAAAACAUAAGUAUAAGAGGUCCCGCCUGCCCAGUGACAAUAUAGUUUAACGGCCGCGGUAUUUUGACCGUGCAAAGGUAGCGUAAUCACUUGUCUUUUAAAUGAAGACCCGUAUGAAUGGCAUAACGAGGGCUUAACUGUCUCCUUCCCCUGGUCAAUGAAAUUGAUCUCCCCGUGCAGAAGCGGGGAUAUGCUCAUAAGACGAGAAGACCCUAUGGAGCUUUAGACGCAAAGGCAGAUCAUGUCAAAUACACCCAGCUAUGGGACCUGAACUAAAUGAAGCCAGCCUUGAUGUCUUCGGUUGGGGCGACCAUGGGGAACACAAAACCCCCACGUGGAAAAGGAGUACACCCCUACAUUUCCCUCCUCCUACAAACUAGAGCGACAGCUCUAAUCAGCAGAAAUUCUGACCAGACUGAUCCGGCAAAGCCGAUCAACGAAUCAAGUUACCCUAGGGAUAACAGCGCAAUCCCCUUUUAGAGCCCAUAUCGACAAGGGGGUUUACGACCUCGAUGUUGGAUCAGGACAUCCUAAUGGUGCAGCCGCUAUUAAGGGUUCGUUUGUUCAACGAUUAAAGUCCUACGUGAUCUGAGUUCAGACCGG
rnacentral:rRNA from 1 species